rnacentral:rRNA from 1 species
ACGCUGGCGGCGUGCCUAAUACAUGCAAGUCGAACGGUCUUUCUAUGGAAGCUUGCUUCCACUGAGAAGAUAGUGGCGAACGGGUGAGUAACACGUGGGUAAUCUGCCCAUAAGAGGGGGAUAACAUCCGGAAACGGGUGCUAAUACCGCAUAGUUUUCUUGAUCGCAUGAUCGGGAAAGGAAAGACGGCCUUUGUGCUGUCGCUUAUGGAUGGACCCGCGGCGUAUUAGUUAGUUGGUGAGGUAACGGCUCACCAAGACGAUGAUACGUAGCCGACCUGAGAGGGUGAUCGGCCACAUUGGGACUGAGACACGGCCCAAACUCCUACGGGAGGCAGCAGUAGGGAAUCUUCCGCAAUGGACGAAAGUCUGACGGAGCAACGCCGCGUGAGUGAAAGAAGGUUUUCGGAUCGUAAAACUCUGUUGUCAGAGAAGAACAAGUUGGAGAGUAACUGCUCCAGCCUUGACGGUAUCUGACCAGAAAGCCACGGCUAACUACGUGCCAGCCGCGGC